rnacentral:lncRNA from 1 species
AGUGGUUAAAAGAUAGAACAGUCUAGCCAAGUUCCAUGUCUCUUAUUCUUGAUUAGCUAUAGCUCUGGGGUUUUUGCAGAUUUUCAAAUAAAACUCAGAGAUUCCUUAUAUGACUCUCUCAGAUCUCUCUUUUGUGGUAUUUUUGGAUCCUUACCAAGGCAGUGAUGGUAUAUGCCUUCUCUCAAGAUAUGUAGUAUUUGUGGUAUGAAGCAUAGUGACAUUGUCUUCUCUCUCACCCUACUCUAAUAAGGCUUUAAUAUCUGGAGCUCAUAGGUGGGAGAUAAAGUAUACAUACUUACAAGACAUUUAUUGCAUAGUCAAACCAUGGAUCCAAAGUAACAAAUCAAUAAGCCAAAUCAAGAUGUGCAUGUGUGGCGAAUGAAUGGUGUAUGGUGAUGAUGGUGAUAACAAUGGUGAAAACAAUGGAGGUGGAAGUCUAAUUCUACUUUGCUCUUUGAGGGGAUACAUACCUUCCUUGCUUUUUGAAACUUUAUGAGGAGAAUGAGAUGCUCAUCUUUUUCUUUUCUCUCAUGUGGGUAUCUUGUACCCCUAAUUUCUAAUGUCGGAUACUUGUCCAUUUUUACCUCUCGUCUCACUUUUUCUUUUCUUUCGAGGUUCCGAGCACUUGCUCCUUUUUAUUUCCUCGUAUCUCUUUUUUUUCUCUUCUUUUUUUCAGAGCAUUCAUCUCUUGAGAUAAUAUAGCAAGUGGUAGUAACAAGAUAACUUGAGCAUUUAUUUCACAAGGGGAAACAGAAAUAUUUUUGGUUAUUCUCUCCCGGAUUAGGAGUAGAAUACUUUUGGGUGGUUUUGGAGAUGGAAAUGAGUGGAUAUAUGUGGAUGGUACUUCCGGAGUAGAAGUAGCAUGUAUGAGUGAACGUGCAAGUGAAUCUUGAUUUAACCACAUGACAAGCUCCUAAGGGUCUACACAGCUUGACCACACUCAAUGCUCAUAAGCAGUAAAAAGUAAAUGUGUGGCUCAAAGUCUAGCAAGCAUGUAUAUAUGGCUGUGGUAGGAUUUUAAACUCUCAUCAUACAGGAACUCAUCAUGUGAUAUUUUAAAGAUUUUCAAAGAUAAAAUUCUCCAGAAUUCUAGCAUCUCUAGGAACAGAU